rnacentral:lncRNA from 1 species
GAGGCUGACCACCCCCCCCCCCAACUUAAGGAUUGCAUCAUGCAGGUUCCUCUCCUGUCUGGCUUGCAGUUAAGCCAAUGAGUGCUAUCAACAGAUUAGAGAAUGAGAGGAGAAAAAGCAAAGUGGGGCAGUGGGUAAAAAUAAAACUACAUAAAGAUUCUAAACGCUGUCUUCUGCCCAAGCUGAAGAGGAAACGGAAACUAGUGUUUUUCAGCAACCCUUUCCAAACACUUCUUACAAAGACGUAUUGGAAGAUGAAAUGA